rnacentral:rRNA from 1 species
GUGGGGAAUAUUGGACAAUGGGCGAAAGCCUGAUCCAGCCAUGCCGCGUGUGUGAAGAAGGUCUUCGGAUUGUAAAGCACUUUAAGUUGGGAGGAAGGGCAGUAAGUUAAUACCUUGCUGUUUUGACGUUACCGACAGAAUAAGCACCGGCUAACUUCGUGCCAGCAGCCGCGGUAAUACGAAGGGUGCAAGCGUUAAUCGGAAUUACUGGGCGUAAAGCGCGCGUAGGUGGUUUUGUAAGUUGGAGGUGAAAUCCCCGGGCUCAAACUGGGAACUGCCUCAAAAACUGCAUGACUAGAGUACGGUAGAGGGUAGUGGAAUUUCCUGUGUAGCGGUGAAAUGCGUAGAUAUAGGAAGGAACACCAGUGGCGAAGGCGACUACCUGGACUGAUACUGACACUGAGGUGCGAAAGCGUGGGGAGCAAACAGGAUUAGAUACCCUAGUAGUCC